CUAUGAUGGACUCAUUCACCAACGAACCAAUGUCUACUCUGCCGCCAAGCAACAAGACUUUGGGCGGAAUACCGUAUAUCGGGGUAUUUUGGAACACCAACGUAAUGAUUUUCAAUAUCUAGGAUGUGCCAAGUAAAUGCUCUGCAUUUGGUUUACUAACUUGCAAUAUAAGGCUUCUUGGUUACAGCAGAGACGGAUCAAUCCUCUCCUGUAUCAAGAUUCCUACUGUCUAAUAUUUGUUUUUUUUGCGUGCAGCAAACUGAGUAACCUUUUGAGAAAGUUGUCAAACUUUGAGCUGGGUUAGACAACCUUGCAAUUUGUUCGCUUGUGCUUGUUAGCAUUUAGCUAGCAUCUGCUAUGGGAAUUCCUUAGUACUUUGUUAGCAUAAUUGUUCAUUUUUAGAUUGGAACAAAAUGUGUUAUACCGUAUAAAAACAAAAUCUAGAUACCACCCAACCCUUACUAAGACCCAUUGUAAAAUGUGUGGUCCUAUUCGCUUAAUUCACACACCACAACACGUCACUUCCGGCUGCACUAAAAUGAGGCUAGUGGGGGAAACCGAGACCAGAAACCUAGGCAAUGCAGUCAAACAUGUCAUACUGCUGCGUCCCUGGAUGUAACUCCUACAAAGGAGGGAGUCAUGCCGAAUGAACUUUCCACUGUUUCCACAAAGACUCUGCGCUACAAUGCCAAUGGGUGGUGAAAAAUAAAAUUGAUGUCGGGACACACUUUGAAGUUCUGGCGAUGAGGUGGAGGCAAGCGUACCCUGACCAUCUGUUACGAUCAGAAUCCUCUGCCUGUGGCGAAGCUGCUUGAAGAGGCACGCAAACCAGUUCCUCCUGCAACUCUUCUAGUGUGACAACAAGAAAGUCAUGUUUUUUUUACACUGGAUUUAGGGUCUACCGUACUCUAAAAGCAGAAACAGAUUAACACACACGUAGACUUGGCUUUAGAGCUUAACACUGAUCCAUUAAGGUUUUCUCUUUCUGUGCUGUGUUAAACUGGGCUUCCUUAAACUGGAGUUAGCUGUUUGUUUCAAUGCAUCACAGUCCAGGAGGAUGCGUGUCACCUGGGUGAACAACUCCCCCCCCCCCUUUUCUUCUAAUGUCAUUUUAGGAUCCCUUUCAGUUUGGCCUCCAAGGGGAACUGUUCAUGAGCUGGUGUCCCUUUGUUUCAGGAACACAUUUCCAUAUACCGGAGUAAUACUGGACUGUACUGAAAUGCAUGUGCAAAGGCCUAGCUCAGAAACACUAACGAUACUGAACAAAAAUAUAAACGCAACAAUUUUUUUUACUGAGUUACAGUUCAUAUUAAUAUAAUCAUUAGGCCCGAAUCUAUGAAUUUCCCAUGACAUCUAUGCAGCUGUUGGUCGCAUAUAUAAAAAAAAAAUGGGCCUCAGGAUCUCGUCAAGGAAUUUUUGUGCAUUCAAUUGUCAUCGAUUAAAAUGCAUUUGUGUUUGUUGUCUGGAGCUUAUGCUUUCCCAUACCUUAACCCUUGCCCACACGAUGCCAUACACGUGGUCUGCCGUUGUGAAGCCGGUUGGACACGCUGGCAAAUUCUCUAAAACGACGUUGGAGGUGGCUUAUGGUGGAGAAAUUUAACAUUAAAUUAUCUGGCAACAGCUCUGGUGGAUAUUCCUGCAGUCAGCAUGCCAAUUGCACGCUCACUCAACAUCUAUGGCAUUAUGUUGUGACGAAACUGCACAUUUUUUUAGAGUGGCCUUUUAUUCUCUACAGCACAAGAUGCACCUGUGUAAAGAUCAUGCUGUUUUGCUUGUUAGCAACCUGUAUACAGGGUCAAAAUCGGACAAGGACAUCACUAGACAGUCCGGGAUUCUUCCUCUUCUGGAGGGAGAUAAUGGCCAAUAAACACUUCCUUAUUAAGGACCUUCUGUCGAGUAUUAAGGCGUCUUUGUUAAUCCCACCAUUUUUUUAGGCCCAAACUGGGCAUUUUAGCCAAGGUGAUAAUCUAGCCCUGGAUCAGGACUCCCGAUUCAUUACAUUGGACGAAGGCGUCUUCUGUACAGGGGAGUUUUGUUAAGAGCCCCGACGCUCAGUCUCAACAUUAACAUGCAUCACUUGCAGGAUGGUUUUGGAUGCAUAAGGACCUUAUCUAACUUAUCAGCGACAGAUCGGUUUAAAAAAAAACAAAAGGUCACAUUGAUACACCUCUUUUUAUAGAGUUCCCACACAGCCAUAUCUCCAUGUUACAAUGUGUGUUUACGGAAGACAGAGGGACCACCUGUGCAAAUGAGCUAUCUAGCAUGCUCCGAACACUUAUGUAACUGAAGAAGGCCGGCAGAAAGGCGUUACUGUCUGCUGAAACUGAUCACGUCAGUUAAAACAAACAGUGUCAUAUUUAUUUAGCAUUCAUGAAAGUAGAGGGCAUUGUUUCUAGAACCGUAUCACCAUUUGGAAUCAAUUUAUCUUUAGAUGGAGUGUUUGUCUGUUUUGGCUCCCAGAGCCAGUCUACCUCUGAAGAUCCUUUUGGUCCUUAAUAAAUCUUCUGAAGGAUCGGCGUUCCAUCAACAGGACAGUUGUAAAUUAUGCACAAAUUUCGGUACACGUAAGUCUUAUAUCGGCUGAAAGCUUAAAUUAUUGUUAAUAUAACUGCACUGCCCAAUUUACAGUAGCUAUUACUGUGAAAAAAUGCCAUGCUAUUGUUUGAGAGCUCCUAUCAAAACACAUUAAUGCGAUUGGUUUGAUAAAUUCACCUCUGAAGGGGAAAUUUGUACUUCAUUCUGAAAUCUUGCUCUGAUUUAUCAUCUAAAGGGUCCCAGAGAUAACCUGAAGGUCCAUAUAGCAUGCAUGUUUGAUUUUGUAUUUCCAGUCGUUCAAUUUGCAAAGAAAAUAAUAAAUCUCACCCUAAACGUUGUUUCAAUGAGUCUAAUCACGUUAUCUAUUCCUCAGAGAUCCUAGAAUGUAACAAGACUUCACUAUUUAAUUAAUAUUUGGUCAGAGAGCGACGCCUUCAUGGCACGCCGAUGACGCGGGCGGCCAUUACUUGAACGACUGUAUCCUCGUCAAACAAAGCUAGUUAGAUAGCCAAUGAGCUGGGCUUUAUGGGAGUGUCCGGAAAACAUGUAUGUCGUAAAAUGUAGCUACUAACCUUGUAGGACAGCAUUCCUUUUCAUGUUGGACGAAAAUUCGAAGGAUAUUCAGAGUUAUGAAAACCGGUUGUUUUGCAAAUGUUGAACUUAUAUGGUUACUAAUACUUGAGAAAGCUAAAUCAAAGUCCAAGUAUACAGAUUGACGAUAUUCUUGCAGAAAAAUGGAAUAUGAAUGCGACUGUCUCCUUCACGAUUUGCCCAAAUGUACCUGGGGACUUCACACAAAGUCUUGUUGUUCACUCAUAAGUCAAGUUAGUCAUCUGAAAUUUUGCACAUACCCUGUCAUCGGAAUUACAACCAGUCUUUUGGCUAGAAUUAUGACCCUUCUCUUGCAUUACAAAGAUGGUGGUAGAAAAAUACAGUUUUUUUUUCCUUUGUAUUUUCUUCUACCAGAUCUAUUGUUAUAUUCUCCUACAUUCAAUUCACAUUUCCACAAACUUCAAAGUGUUUCCUUUCAAAUGGUAUCAAUAAUAUGCAUAUCCUUGCUUCAGGGCCUGAGCUACAGGCAGUUAGAUUUGGGUAUGUCAUUUAGGUUGAAAAAAGGAGGCUAUCCCUAAGGAGUAUUGUAAUGAUAGGCUCCUUGAGAGUACAUUUUGGGCUAGGGAAAAUCUACAAAAUGUACAUUUUAUAAAUGUUUACAUAAAAGAAUGUACUUUUGUUUAGUUGUAUAACCUAUUCAUUAACCCAUACAAAAAAAUCAAAUGUUUGUACUCUUAUAAACUAUGAUAAAUUAAUCCUGCGUAGCUGUUCUUUUUACUUGCUUAGAGCUAGUAUGAAAUGCUGGAAAAAGAAAAAUCGCCCAACUCGCGUUUCAUCUUUCCCCACUUGUCUGCAUUUAAAGUUUCUCUCCAGCUGAUAGUUGUUGCACAUCAAAGUCACACAAUUUGGUUGCUAUGAUACCCAUUUGAUAGUGGUAAUUGCGAUUUAUGUUUCAAGGAGAAAGCACCAUCUGCAUUUGAAGUGAGGUAUGGACAACCCUAAUAGCUGUUCUGAUCUGGCCAUUUAAAAAAGAAAAAAAAAGACACGAGAAGGAGUAUGAUAAUGAUGCUUUCCCCCACCGCCUAUACAUAAAGGUUGAUGGUAAUGAAGGGGAUGACUAAAAUGGCAACUUAAUUUUGUCAUCUGAGAACUGAUUACGUUCUGUAUUUUCCCCAAGGACUGAAUACCACUUCUGUGGUUUAAAAUCCUGGUCGCAGCACCCACGCAUUUCUACUGUCAAUGACAGCUGUUUCUGUUGAGACCUGACACCAAGGCUGACUAGUUGUGUUUACAAUAUGAUGAAAGCUGAUAUGACUGGGAUUGCAAUUUUAUUUUGGAUGGGGAAGAGGCAAUCCCCUCAGCCAACUCAAUAAGCCUCCUAGUCACUUGGUGAAAGUAUUCUUUUUUUUUAAUUGUCUGAUUGGCUUUCCUCAAGUUAGGGUUUGGCUGGAGUGUUAAACAAAGGAGAGAUGUGUUAUCUUUUAAUGUCUGUGUCAAUCAACAAAUCCCAUACUAGGAGCAUGAUCUCCAUGCUGGCUCCUCACGGUACAUCUGUUGGUAUACAUAGUUACCAAAUCUUGUCAGUGGCCACUUUUCUAUCCAGUUUUCAUGUGAGUAAAGUCAUACUGUAAAAAUUUAAAAAAAAAA